GGGCCCGUAGCUCAGCCAGGCAGAGCGGCGGACGCCUCACCCGUAGGUCAGGGGUUCGAAUCCCCUCGGGCCCA
rnacentral:tRNA from 1 species